AUUUGCUAUAAAAAUCAGUGAAAGCAUAAGAUGACGAUUCGAUGUGAAUUUUAACGAGCUUUGGAAGCAUUACUUCUUAAGAACUACAACAAAAGAGCAAUGAGUGAAACUGAAAGCACUGCGAAGAUUUCGUCACAAAGAGAUCUUUGCGGUAGGUUUAGUCAGUAUUACAAGCGGAUUGACUAAUCACAAAUUACGCAUAAUGAAUAUGGGGGAAUCUUAAGUGAGGCGACAACUAACUGUAGUCAAAUGUUGCACACAGUUGCCAAUGCUACUAAUACGCUCGCGUGGCAUGAAUAGUUUGAAUGGAGUGCGCAACAAACUUCUUCUUGUUAAACUCUUAGAGCGUUUCCUUAAUGAAUACGUGUUUUGAGUACCGGAUUUCGUUUGCUGCCAUGCAAGUUGCAAGCUGCAACAUGUUCGACGUACUCUUAUACUCGGGGCUACGCUCGCGGGCAUGAAAACGAAAACACAACAUGUUCGCUGACGUUUCGAACUUGCUCUCUUGCAAUUUGAAUGUGCCAAGAACUGAAUUAUUAACUAUUCUUUUUUUAAAUCAAUAAAAUCGUGCAAAUAGCAAAUAAGGCAGUAUUGCAUUUCCAAUAAUUUGCCAUUGCCUUGCUAAAUAAUUUACUGCAAAUCGUGAGCAACCACUUCGCUUCGAACAUGUUCGAGGCCUUAUGCUCACGCUCUCUCACUUACCGUGGAUACACGUCUCACCUGCCGGUAUGAUGGCAACCCACCCCCAUGCUUGUGUCUAAGAAG